UACGUAGGGGGCAAGCGUUGUCCGGAAUCAUUGGGCGUAAAGAGCGUGUAGGCGGCUCGAUAAGUCUGCUGUGAAAGUCCAGGGCUCAACCCUGGAAGGCCGGUGGAAACUGUCGGGCUAGAGUCCGGAAGAGGCGAGUGGAAUUCCCGGUGUAGCGGUGAAAUGCGCAGAUAUCGGGAGGAACACCACUGGCGAAGGCAGCCCCCUGGGCCAACACUGACGCUCAGGCCCGAAAGCGUGGGGAGCAAACAGG
rnacentral:rRNA from 1 species